GUCUUUCUGGGACACUGAAGCUGUUCCCAGAGAGGAUAGAUCUAAAGAACACAGAUUUUUGGUGACAGUGUUGAGCCCUGCCUGAACCUGUACCCCUUGCAGUGGGAGAGCUCACAGUCUACUGAAGACAGAGACAAGUGUGCAAGCAGAGUCAAAAUAGCAGGAUGGGAAUGGCAAGGAAAUAUGUGUGCAAAAUAAAGGAACAAGUAAUGGCUGCGAUGGAAAGACUUCAUAAAAGAGUUGACAGUAGAAAUGAAUGUGACAGUGUGUUGGAAGCCCUGCCUGGGCUUGGUGAGACGGGACCUGGGGGUUAAGGAAGACCGAAGAGUUGAAGCUCAUCAUGGGAAGAGAAAUAGACAUUUUGAAGGAAGACUCCAAAACAGGUGGGAUCACUGUCCUUCCCACAUUAUCUGGCCUAGAGAACCUGAAGCAUGAUGAUGCUAUGGACAAAAAAAGGAUAAUAAUAAUUUUUAAAAAUAAUGAUUAUUAAAACAUUAUGUGUCAGGUGCUGGUGAUCCUCGUAAUAAACAUAUGGGGUGGUUGCUAUUACUCUUAUUCUUAUUCUGUGGAUGAAGAACUGAAAAGACACAGGGAGAGGCAGCAAAGUCAGAAUGUAAACGGAGCAAUAUGACUGCAGAGCCUGCCCGCUUAGGCCCUACACUAAGCUACCAGAGGAUGUCUGCCUCAUGCAGGACAAAGAUGACUCUGAAUUAAUUUCAAAUGACAACAAGGUUUUGUUAAUUACUUUUGCUUUAGCCCCCAAAUACUUCCCCAUCAUGUUAAGGGUAAGGUGUAAAUUUCUUACUAACCCCAAAUAAUAAAACCCAUCAAAUUUUGACAAAUCAAGGAAGGCUCAUUGUGCUGCUUAGCAUGAAACAUCUGCAAAGUGCAGUAGAGGUAUUGACUAGGCAUUAAUUAUGCUUUACAUUACUUUUGUGAGUUUCUCACACCUGAGACUCUGGCCAAGUGUGGGAGAAGGGCAAGUUGAGAGGCAUAGAGAAUUUUUAGGACUUCUGAUU
ensembl:lncRNA